AAACAAGACUCCUGGGUUCCAGAGCAGAAUAAUGUACAAAAAUCUGAAAGGAAAUUCUGCCCCAACAUAUAUUUCCCUAUUUAGAUUCACUGUGGCUUUGGGCUUUUUAAACAGCAAGAUAAAUCAGUCUGAGCUUCAGCUCCUGCUGUGUCACAGCCAGAAUUUCAUUUAGAACUUCUUAGCUACAGGAGGAUGACAGAAUAAAAGCACUUUUGUCAGUACUAGGCCACGGACUUGCCAAAAAAACUUGACCUAUGCAAAGAACAUGCUCACCUAGUAUUUCAGGGAGCUCUAGCACAUUUGACUUGUGUGGCAUGAUAAUAAUUUGGGAGGAUUUACCAACACACCAAGAUGCAGAUGAGGAUGGAUAAAUGUGAGUUACUGAGGUUGUCCCUUUGUAAGUCAUGUAGGAGUAAGACGGCCUGCCAGAUCAAUGAGAGACCAUAGAAAUAAAAGUAUGCCUGCACUGCACUGAACUUUUUCAGACAAUGGAGCUACAGACUUCUGUGGCAGCUGUUCUGGAAAACAAGGCACAGAUCACUUUACCACAGGCUAAUAUAAAAACAUAGGAAGCUCUUGAAAGACUAUCAAACCAAAAAAGAAUCACAGCGAAUGCUCUGUCCUAUGCCUUCAUAGUGAGGUUCCUGUGCUGAAGCAGGAUCAUCCUGAAAAUGUUCACUUUAGUUCUUUUAGGUUUGAGCUUUUUUGGAGUGGAGAGAGAGUGGGAAUCCCACCACAGCUACCAUCAUAGAGUAGCCCAUGUUGGAAGGGAUACUUAAGGAUCAUCAAGUCCAACCCAUUUCUCCACACAUGGCCACCCAAAAAUCAGACCAUCUGUCUGAGAACACUGUCCAGAUGCCUCUUGAACUCCAGCUUUGUGCAGUGACCGCUGCCCCAGAAAGCCUGUUCCAGUACCUGACUACUCUCUGGUGAAGAACCUUAGGGUUCUAAAAGAGUUUGAGAGCUGGGAGGAGAUCAGCCCUGGCUUUCAGUUUGACUUGAGUUUGUUCUGUCUUCAACACUAAUAGUAGCAAUAAGGGGGAUGAUCUUCCCGUAUUAACCUUUUUUUCCUAUGAUUCAUAAAGACACUAUUUAAAUAGAUGAUCUUCAUUUUCUUCCAAGAGCACGAUAACUCAGUGUGUGAGAAAGGCAGACAGAUUCUUUGUUCAAACAUGAAGCAGCCUGGCUGGCAUCUGACUUCUGCCAUUUUUUGGUGAUAAUUCUUUGUUUCACGCUAUUUUAUAAAGAAAAAGAGGGACAAAAUAGACAUGUUCUGCAUAGUUUAGUGUAGCAGUAUUUCCAUUCUGGUUUCCAAGUUUGUCCCUGAAAGCACUGGCUGUUUUUAACCUGAUAUAGCAUUGGCUUCCUGUGUAUUAUCUAACUUGAUUUUUGCUCUUCCGUCUCCCACAGCUCUUCAACUGACAAGAAAGCCUGUAAAUGUUGGAACACUGCGCUUCAGCCCCAGAAUCAUUUUUAUCUUCUCAGCAGAGGCUUUAAAAUAGAACUAGUUGCCUCUGUAUCAGUUCAUUUUUUUGGAUCAUGCAUGCUCUUGUCAUUUCCAGAAAGCACUUUCUGAUUAAAAAUAGCUUGAUUAUCUGAUAAAAUUAAAUGUGCUUUGCAAGAGGAGCAUUGGCCUCACACAUCCUGGCUGCUAAUGAGCACGGUGCUUGCAAACAUCACCACUACAGGCUUCAUCCAAACGGAAGCCCAUGGUUAAUGACAGCUUUCAAAGCUUAAAGAAGCCAACAAGAUAGGACAGCGUUUUCGUGUAACUGUUUUUUACUUUUAUGAAGGUUCUUUGUCAUCGGGGGUUUCAACAUGUGAGGCAGUACGUGCUUUGCAUACAGGACCGGUCCUAAUAGGUCACAGUUAGGAAGGAGUACGUUGAGGGUAGCAGGAUGCCUGGUGGCGUGAGAACCAGGUGGGUCAGCAUGGGGUUUGCUGCAGUGGAAUUUCCCUGAAGCAGAAUAGAGGCAGAGCCUGCAGGAGACCUGAAAUAUACUGCAGGGCGUUGGGGAGACUGGGUGGAGAACUAGAGGAGAUGCUGAAAGUGGAAAGUGAGAGAAAAGGAGUAGCAGAAAGGCGAAGAGACUGUAGCAAAGGGCUACAGUACUGGCUGAGAACUGGUAGAGAGCUUUUAAAAAAGAAAAAUGAUGAUUCCUUUUCUGACACCAGUGACCCUGUGAGCUCCUCUUACUUCCUGUAAGAAAGGAAGGAAGAUAAUGCCCUCGCUGAAAGUGAUAGAAGAUGCUACUAGGAAAUACAACAAGAAAAUGCAGGAGGUGGAAGGCAAAGCAAAGUAAGAUGCGUAUUGGUGGAGGUUCAACACGAAGGCCAAAGGAGAAAUCUGUUAUUUCUUACAGUGGAAAUCCAGAAAAAAACAGUUAAGUAGCAGUGAAAAAAAGUGAGCAUGUAUUCCGUGCUCAAACUCAAUGAUAAUACAGCUUGGGUAUUUCCAUGGAUGAGUCUAAUUUGAGCUAUUUAAGGUUCUUCAUAGCAGAGUAUGCCCUAUUAUCCCAUUAACAGUGACAGAGUAAACUUGCAGCCCAGCAGUGCGCAUCUGCUGCAUGAAUAACCUGCACCUCCUGAAAGCCUCUCCAUGCCUGGCAGUUUGCAGUAGCUGCUGAACAAGAGUUAUUCUAACAGGAACGUGUUUGGGGUCUCACCUCAGCACUAAAAUGGAUCUGAUACCAUAAUUGAUAAUGGCAGAAACCACAAAUCUUUUUGUUUUCUCUCGAUGUUGCAGAUAUGCUAUUGCUGAAUUAGAGAUGCUGAUGAAGAAUAACAGCAAGCUUUUGCAACUCAAGUUAAACCACCGCGUCUGUAUAAUUAGGGAACCAAAUCUUUGACAGUUCAGUCAAGCGAAACAUUGAGACUAUUUUUAACGGGGGAUUUUUUUUUCCAAAAAUUCCUCUGACAGCUAUUGCUACAAAAUACGUGCAGGUCUUCUGUGCUUUGUAACUCAACACUUUCACGGGCAGAGUAUAAUAUACAUCAGGCAUUUGGUAACCGCAGUUUGCGUAGUCAGAACUGAAGUGGCAGUAGGAAGUAAAGGCUGCAGUAGGUAUCAGCACCUUGGCAGAAAACGACCGAGGAGGACAACAUGCUUACAGUAACUUGUUGUGAAGGGAGGACUUCUUAAGUUUGCCCAGGGCAGUUCUUUGUGUGCAAACUUUAACUGUCAGGCUCUACGCUGCUUUAGUUCUGUAGGCAGUACAAUGCAAUUUUAGGCUGCACACAACACUGGGAACUGUCUUACAGAUUUUGCUGAAGCUUUAGUACAGAUGUCAUCUGCUCCUUUGCUCUCACAUUAUCUUCACUUGUACCAUACCUAUCAGAAAAGUGAAGAGCAAACCCACAAACUCAACUCAUUAAACAACUGGGUGAGCAGAAGAAAACCACAAAGUAAAAGGUCACUACGUAAUUACAGGAUAUAGUAGCUGGUUGACAGAUGAGAUACAACUAAUGUUCCAGCUGAACAACAACGACAGAAAAGUUGCAUAUAGUUGCAGAGCUCCUGUGCGAGUUAAUGGGAUCUGUUCAGAUAGAAAUCACCUAAAUUCAGGCUCGCCUCAGUGUAAUCUCUGCAAUAUGCCUCAUGUUCUUCACCCAGGAUAAAUUCCUGCCCAUUCUGCUUUUGGGUUAUCUAAAGAAAUGUUCUGGGAAAACCUGAUCUCUGCACCUCCUGAAACUAUCCUCUACCCAGGCAGGCUUCCUGCAUCACUCAUUAGCUGCUGCGCUUGGUUGUACGGAGAAAAGCAUGUAGGCAUUACUGGCAGUAGGAUUGAAUGGGUCAAAUCAGGCUGUUCCGGUUUGCUGUCCAUGACAAUCACUAGCCAAGCAGAUACUAAAAUGUUCCCCACACCUCUGUUCUGCAUUCAAGAAACUUUGUCCUUCCUUCACUCCCUUUAGUCUUCUUACCUAAGGGCAUUGUCUGCUUAUCCUCCUGGUGAAGGGUGCAGUCCCCAGCCCUGGGGAAGAGCCCUGUUCCACCUGAGGCUGAAGUGCUGCCAAGGUAAACAGCAACAGCAGGUUUUCCACGUCUGUUUUGAUACUGGGGAGAAAUGGAAGGAAGCCCCUGUUUUACAUCUUGUUUUGACAAAUUGCCAUACUUUGUGGUUUUACUGUUCGCUUGUGUGUUGUUUUGUUCUUUUUUUUAAAUAUAUAUAUUUCCCCUUCGAUGUACUAAGAAAUACCUCCUGAAAACACAGUAAGACCACUGCUAAGCCUGAAGAUUUGGCAAAAUUGUCAAAUAUUUCAAGUAUUUGAAACCAAUGCCACGGCAGCAUCCAUCUGCAUUCUGACACGCUGCUCAGGCAGGAUGCCUUUGGUCUGGACGUUUCCUACAGAUGGCCCUGGGCUAGGCUGAGGCAGAGCCCUGGGCAGGUUGCAGGGAGCCCUGCUGGGCAGGCAGGGAGGUGUGCGGGUAAUCUCAGGGGAUGGCACUUGGUAAAUGAUGAUUUUCUGUGCUCUUGGCUUUCAUUUCUGCCACCAGGCACUUUGAGGGAUGUGCUGGACACCCACUCACACCUGAGCUGACUCAUUGCUCUAGGGCUCAGGCUCUCCCACCUGUGCUCGCUAAUAACUGCUGAAAGGACAGAAAUCCCCAGUGUGUUACUGUUGGGGAAACCUGUUUUCCACCCCUAUGUGACCCAAAUAAGAGCUCCCUGCGACCUGAGUGCCAACCUUGCAUUUUGCAGGACUGAGUCUUUCUGCCUUGACCACAAUUCUUUCUGCUCCGUGAUGUGCUAAAGCACAAAGCAUGUAACGUCUUUCCUGAUCUAAUUAGUGAUGCCUCCAUCUGUCUCGUGGUGAAAGUAACUGGCAUCAACACCAAGCUACAUGGCUUUGUUGUCUCUCUGUCCUUCAGCCUUUCUGUACUCGUGUAACAUGUCACCUGCUGAGAGAAAUGUGGAUUAUUACGUAUUUCUGAUGUAGAACACUGCGUGGAGAGGCAUACAAUAAAAUACAAUAAAAUUAAAUCAUGAAAAGAUGUCAUCAAAGCACCGCUACAUCAUAUCAUUAAAGCUAAGUUGCAAUAAAAACAAUUCAAAUUCAAAUGAAAUUGAA
ensembl:lncRNA